CAGCUGCAGCGCUGGCCUGGUGUCUCUGUCCCGGGCAUCCCUAGAGAGAUCAGGUCACAAGGGGCCUCUGAAGGGGCUCGGGUCACGCGGGAUCCUCUGCCACGCUUUCUUCCUGAGCCACAGUUCCCAAGGCUCAUCCGUGCCAGCACGUGUGCCCCAAAUCAUCCGUGUCGGCACGUGUGCCCCAAAUCAUCCGUGCCAGCACGUGUGCCCCAAAUCAUCCGUGUCGGCACGUGUGCCCCAAAUCAUCCGUGCCGGCACGUGUGCCCCAAAUCAUCCGUGUCGGCACGUGUGCCCCAAAUCAUCCAUGUCGGCACGUGUGCCCCAAACUCGCCAGUGGCUGAGCGGAGCUCCGUUGCGUGCAGAAUCGGGUUAGGGUUCCCAGGGACACGCAUCGGGCUGCUGUGGUCUCGGUCCUGGGAGCGAUGCUGCUCUGAGCCUUCAGGUGCUGGGGACCUGGAUUCCAGCGGCCCCGGGCAAGGCGCGGGGCGGGGGCGCCGCCUGCGAGCGCCGCCUGGUGGACUUCGCGGUGGCUGCAGCACGUCCAGCCCCAGGGCGGGAGGACGAGGGUCUCCACGUCCCCAGGUCCCUGACAGCGUGGGUUGGGACACCUGCGUCUGGUGUCUCAGUGCUGUUUGCAGUCACAGCCCCACUGCUUGCAGUCCAGCUCCCUGUGGGUGCACAGCCUGGGGAGGGGCAGGGGAUGACUCAAGUCCUUCAGUCCCGUCGCCCACGUGGGAGACCAGCAUGGAGCUCCGGUCUCCCGGCUUCGGUGUGGCUCAGCUUCCACACCGGCAUCCAGGGUCAGUUUUCACCUGGACACUGGCAGGUCGCCACCCAGGUGCCUCCUGGCCCCGCCCACUUCUCUUCAGUGCCGUGGACCCCGCUGCCUGCACCACCUCGCUGUCCCUCACUGCUGGACUUCUCCUGCCCCUGUCCCAGGCACGGGACACAGGGACGGGCACUGUCGCAGCUCCGGUCACAAGGACGGAUGGUGACGAGGCUCGUGGCAUUACAGCCUCGCUGGGGGAAAGGCCACCCUCCCCGUGUGCAACCCUCACGUGUGGGGUCCUCAUCCCCUUCUCCCCCCCCCAACUCUCAGAGUGUGCCCGGAGCCCCAGGGCGCCACAUUCCACAGCUCCACAGCUCCCUCUAGUGAGCGCUGGGAACCCGGGUCACAGCUGGGGACACAGAGGGUCCCACGCAGCCACUGUGUAUGCCCUCAGAGCCCUGUUGCUGACCACCAGGGGGCGCCAGCCCAGCCCACGGCAGCAUCCCUGCUUCCCUGGGUCCCUGGCCCCACCCAGCAGCCGAUGCUCCCUGGACAAGCAGGGCCUCCCUCCCUGCCCCAGGAUGGCUGUGGGUGCCCCCAGGGGAGCCGGGUGCUGGGUGGGGUGGGAGAGGAGGGGGUUACACAGCAUGACAGGGACUGAGUGCCCCGAGUCCCCACUUCACCAUGGAGACAUCGACACCACGUUGCAUAACGUGUGA
rnacentral:lncRNA from 1 species